UGCAAGUCGAACGAGUUCUGAUUAUUGAAAGGUGCUUGCAUCUUGAUUUAAUUUUGAACGAGUGGCGGACGGGUGAGUAACACGUGGGUAACCUGCCCUUAAGUGGGGGAUAACAUUUGGAAACAGAUGCUAAUACCGCAUAAAUCCAAGAACCGCAUGGUUCUUGGCUGAAAGAUGGCGUAAGCUAUCGCUUUUGGAUGGACCCGCGGCGUAUUAGCUAGUUGGUGAGGUAACGGCUCACCAAGGCAAUGAUACGUAGCCGAACUGAGAGGUUGAUCGGCCACAUUGGGACUGAGACACGGCCCAAACUCCUACGGGAGGCAGCAGUAGGGAAUCUUCCACAAUGGACGCAAGUCUGAUGGAGCAACGCCGCGUGAGUGAAGAAGGCUUUCGGGUCGUAAAACUCUGUUGUUGGAGAAGAAUGGUCGGCAGAGUAACUGUUGUCGGCGUGACGGUAUCCAACCAGAAAGCCACGGCUAACUACGUGCCAGCAGCCGCGGUAAUACGUAGGUGGCAAGCGUUAUCCGGAUUUAUUGGGCGUAAAGCGAGCGCAGGCGGUUUUUUAAGUCUGAUGUGAAAGCCCUCGGCUUAACCGAGGAAGUGCAUCGGAAACUGGGAAACUUGAGUGCAGAAGAGGACAGUGGAACUCCAUGUGUAGCGGUGAAAUGCGUAGAUAUAUGGAAGAACACCAGUGGCGAAGGCGGCUGUCUGGUCUGUAACUGACGCUGAGGCUCGAAAGCAUGGGUAGCGAACAGGAUUAGAUACCCUGGUAGUCCAUGCCGUAAACGAUGAAUGCUAGGUGUUGGAGGGUUUCCGCCCUUCAGUGCCGCAGCUAACGCAUUAAGCAUUCCGCCUGGGGAGUACGACCGCAAGGUUGAAACUCAAAGGAAUUGACGGGGGCCCGCACAAGCGGUGGAGCAUGUGGUUUAAUUCGAAGCAACGCGAAGAACCUUACCAGGUCUUGACAUCUUUUGAUCACCUGAGAGAUCGGGUUUCCCCUUCGGGGGCAAAAUGACAGGUGGUGCAUGGUUGUCGUCAGCUCGUGUCGUGAGAUGUUGGGUUAAGUCCCGCAACGAGCGCAACCCUUAUGACUAGUUGCCAGCAUUUAGUUGGGCACUCUAGUAAGACUGCCGGUGACAAACCGGAGGAAGGUGGGGAUGACGUCAAAUCAUCAUGCCCCUUAUGACCUGGGCUACACACGUGCUACAAUGGAUGGUACAACGAGUUGCGAGACCGCGAGGUCAAGCUAAUCUCUUAAAGCCAUUCUCAGUUCGGACUGUAGGCUGCAACUCGCCUACACGAAGUCGGAAUCGCUAGUAAUCGCGGAUCAGCACGCCGCGGUGAAUACGUUCCCGGGCCUUGUACACACCGCCCGUCACACCAUGAGAGUUUGUAACACCCGAAGCCGGUGGCGUAACCCUUUUAGGGAGCGAGCCGUCU
rnacentral:rRNA from 1 species